rnacentral:rRNA from 1 species
UACGUAGGGGGCUAGCGUUGUCCGGAAUCAUUGGGCGUAAAGCGCGUGUAGGCGGCCCGGUAAGUCCGCUGUGAAAGUCGGGGGCUCAACCCUCGGAUGCCGGUGGAUACUGUCGGGCUAGAGUGCGGAAGAGGAAAGUGGAAUUCCUGGUGUAGCGGUGAAAUGCGCAGAUAUCAGGAAGAACACCCGUGGCGAAGGCGGCUUUCUGGGACGGUACUGACGCUGAGACGCGAAAGCGUGGGGAGCGAACAGG